GGAGCCCAAACAAAGUUAGCGUGCUACAAUAUCGGACAGUAGAAACCAACCAGAAAGUUCGGAAAAUUGUCUGAAUCCUCCUUUGGCCACGACUGCCGACACAAGCAAGAAAACAAAGUAAAUACCGGAGACUCUGGAGGAAUAAAAAAAAUGUGAAUAAAUCAUUUUUUUAAAAAGUUCUAUAUAAAAUUCUUCUUCUUCUUCUUCUUCUUCUUCUUAUUAAAAUUGCCUACAGUUGGUUUGUUCACUUGAGGAGGAUCCAGAUUGUUCUUUUAUGGUUAGUUCGAUCCUCGACAGCUUGAGCUUUGUAGAUUUGUAGUUAUUUCACAGACCGGCACAAAUUCAAGUCAAGGAAAUUGUUUUUGUUCCUUUUGGUGCACCGUAGUUAUACCAUCUCUUGCUUCUCUGUUAUUCCAUGAGCAACCAAACUGGAACGUCUUAAAGUGGACAUGCCGCUGAGGGGAAAACGGGUCAAGAUUUCUGGCCCUUCCUAAGAUCCUCAAAGAGUCAAAAGAAACCACUUACUUUCCUUUGCUCACUGUACGAAUCUGAAGGCUUUUUGUUCCUGUUUGUCAGAUUUCCCACUUUGAGAGCUCCUCAGUUUUCCCCGGAGAAGAAGGGCGCUCUCUUUCCCUCCAAGGUCUCCACCGACGAAGCUCAUCUUGAGUUUUAACUGCUUGAAGACACUCAGAGACCUUCGAGUGCAGCUCCUGACAAUGAGCCGAGGUCUGCAUAGUUUCUAACAAGUUUUUGCACAGCGAGGAAUUAAAGACAGAGAAAUGUACUUGUAGCUUCUUAAAAAACAGUAAACUAUUUUAAAAUGAGGACAUGUUGGUGUUAAAUUCAGGUUGAUUUGAGCGGCUCAGUGAGGUGGUGUGGAGGGUAAGGUGGAGGAAAAGGCGGCUCAGUCAACGCUGACGGUCUGGUCAGACAGCAGGUCAGAUACUGUGUGUUGUGGAGUUGAUUGUUGGAGAUGGGUUCAGGCUUUUAUUUUGAAGGACAGGUGUGCCGCUCACCUGACAGGAAGCAGGAUGUUUAUAAGAACAGCUGACUUCUCCAGGACAUCCCUCUCAGUUCUCAUGGAUCAGACCCAGCUGGACUUCAGAAUCAGGUAGGAGCUUUAAUCCUGUGUGCUUCUGCUUUGUCCUGUUAGCUGUGCUGAGAUUGUGUUUUGUUUACAAGUUGUGAUGCUAGCUUAGCGGCUAACAGCUAGCUUUUUGCUGUGUGGGGCCUGUGAACCUUGGCUGCUUGGUUUUAACACCUUCUCUGCUUUGUUUGUCCUGUUAUUGACUCGCUGUGUUUCGGGGUGUUUGUUUUCGCUGUUGUUUCCGUCGGUUAAAUGUCUCAUCUUCUAAAUGUCUCUACUGUCACAUUUAUUUAACAUCGUUUUUGCUCCAUAAACUGAGAGCUGAGGUUGUCUGUGUAUAUCUGCUGUGCUUGAAAGGGUCGAGUUACUACAUCGAAAAAAAAACAUACAGACCAAAAACAGCAAAAUACAUCUGGGAGUUCUGAGGGUUAAUAUCUCUGAAAUCAUUACAAGGAUAACUGUGAUUAAAGGCUGACCCUUCAGCUAGUUUAAAGAGGUCUUUGCGCUCUUGUGAACCUUUUAGCGGGUUUUCGAUCCAGCCUAGAAGCUUCCUGCUCAUUCAGAAACUUCAUUUGUUUGGCAGUAAUAGGACGAUUUCGAACAUUUUCAUGCUCUUCUUCUUCUUCCUGAAACGUAAAUGAAAUGUUGUUAACCUUCGCUGAUUUUCUAAGUGGUAGCAUCCCAACAAAUACAAAUGUGUUUACAUGUGUUCAGUAGGUUUAAAGGUUUUCUUGAUGGUUACGUCCAAUUAGAAGAAGCCAACGACCAAUUAACUGCAAGAUAGUUUAAUCCCACAUUCAGGGGACAUGUACAUUUAGACUUUUACUCGUGUGCAUACGCUUGGCAUGGUCACUCACUGUGGUGUAUUUGGAGUUUAUUAGAGUUUGAAAAAUAGAGACAAAUAUUGUGUCUCCUGUUCGCCAAGGCUCGAGGUGAACAUGUUUAGGAGUUUUUCGCUGAUUUGAGAGAGACGUACUCUGAUAGCCAAUGUUUUCCUGAGAAAGUAGAUAUCUACAACUUGAUUCUGCUUGAAAGUGUUGAGGUUUCACAUGCGUUAUUAAAUGUUUUCCCAUUUGCACCAAAAAACUGCCAAACACAGGUGUUAAUCCUCACGUUAAAGAGCCGUACAAAAUCAGCUGUACGAGAGGGGAAAAAGAAGAAGUCAGUUUAUCGAGAAAAUUUCCAAUCUUUUGCAAUCUGCUCUUCGACCGAGCCAAACGUUUAUUUUUUCGCCCUACGACCAUAAUCGCAUCAGCCUUGUCGUCCCGCUGACUUCACUCUUGGCAGGUGUGGUCCUUGGCACCACAAAGGUUGCUGUGUUACAUGUGGAGUCAAUAGCAGUUUGAGCGGUUUUUGACACCACUACAAGCUGCACCAGGGCCAAGCAAUCUGUGAGCGCCCAGCUGCCAAUCCUCUGAAAACAGGAACACCAAACCGACGUAUGAGGAGGCUGUGGAGCUCCAAAUGCAGCUCAGUAUGUGAACCUAAACCAGAGCAAUGAAUGAUCAGGCAGUUCUCAGUUUGCAUUUGUUUGUUAAACUCAUUUUAUAAAACCAUAAUCUACCAUGAGGUCACAGUUUAGCAGCUGUAGUGAGCAAAAAACUUGAUUUAAACAGACGGAAAUGUAAAGAAAACACGUCUGUCUUAACCGGAUGGACAAAGAAAAGUAGGGUAGACACCAAAAGGAUCAUUUAAGGGCGUUUGGAGGCCGGGCAGCCAGUCUGUGUGUAAUCUGUUUACUGUACAUGUUACAGGCGGUCAUGACAGCCCGUCAUCGCCGGAUUAGCUGCUCCCGACCGGCGGGAUGAAUUUCUGGCAUGUCAGAGAUUUUCAGGACUUAAGGACCUGAUUUCACCUUCGUAAAAUGGUCGGCAGUGUCCAGAAGCACCAUGGUUUUUAAGACAGUCUAGCUGCAGACCUCCACUGAGACGACAGGAAGUUGUUUAAAACCUUUCAAAAUAAAAGCAAAUAUACCAGGCAUAUGUCUCUUUUUGUAUGUCCAAAGUUGAUCGAAGCCUUUCAAAUUAAAAGCGAUGAAUAAUAGGCCUGGGGCGAUUCGUCGAUGUAUUGGACGUAAUCGACUACAAAAAUUAGUCGAUGCGUCGCAUGACGACAUAGACGAUGGCUACUUCAGGUAAUGGUGGAGGCAAACAAGCGCCACCUAAUGGAGUCGACUUAAAACCUACUUUAUUAUGAUCUAUAAUCAGCUCCUCCUGUGUUCUUCCUCGCUUCCUCAUUCACAUUUCCAAGAUGGCGCCGCUUUCAUUCACGGAGACAUGCAGUGGACGCCACAGUGGACGCUGUAUCAUACGCCCUGCAUCCCAUUUCUAAUUUAUUCACUUUCAGCAGUUAGCUCGGAGUUAAAGCAUCAGUUUUGUGCUUUUAUUUGUCCGAUAACUCGCUAAUUAAUCAGCUGUGUGAUUGGAUAUGAUUGUUUCCAAUUUGGAGUAUUGAAGGUUUCUGGAAAUUUACCGGAAAUUUUCCACCCCUUUGCAACCCUAGCGGCCAGACCCCUCUCCUGGUUUGUGACACGGACAGCUGGUAUAGUUAGUGUGAUUCAGACUUCAGGUGAGCGCUCAGGUAUGAAUCAUGAGUUUCAGUCAAGACAACUUACUCUUUCCUUGAGGACCAUCAUGGACUCAAAAAUCCACCAGAAUCUGAGAGUUGGUGUCAGUAUGAGGUUUAUUUAGCAAUAUGAGGUUCCUGAGGUUAUUCUGCUCUAACCUGAGGUGGAGUUUAAAUGUGCAUGUAUGAGGAGGGAGCACUAACCUCAGGGACUGUGGUUACACACUAAUGCACACGUUCAAUAUACAGCUGCUGCUGUUUAUUUCCCACCGCUUCGACGCUCCGCAGGACUCUCAGAGGAUUAUGCUUUAGUAAGAUGAACGCACGCUGUGAUUGGCUGAUACACAAAGACAGAGAACGUGUCAUUUCCUCUUGGCAACAAACAAACUGUAGAAAUUUAACUCCAAAAUGUGGAGCUGCAGAGAAGUGACAGGUUACGUAACACUUCACACACUCAGACACGUCUACGUCUUUGGUGAUUCUCACUCAAAACCAUCUGCCAAGUCUGUGUGUGUGUGUGUGUGUGUGUGUGCGUGUGUGUGUGCGCGCGUGUGUGUGUGUGUGUAUGUGUUGCCUUGGCUUUUAUUGCUAAUUUAGAGGAGAGGUUAUCCAUCACAUAAUGAAGCAUGUAGUAAAUUACCUUUGUGCAAGUGUGUGUGUGUGUGUGUGUGUGUGUGUGUGUGUGUGUGUGUUUGUUUGUUUUAUUGCCAGCCUUGAGAUGUCAACAACCUGAAUAUUGUAUGAGUGGAAUUACAACCAAAACACACACUCAGACUCACACACUCUCACACACACAUACGUUAAAGAGGCUGAAUGAUGAGCACAGCAAAUGCAUGUUUAUCCUUUGGCUUCUGCUGUUCAGUAAUUCAUGUUGAUGGAUGAGUAAUCAGCUAAUGAUACGAGAGAGAGAGAGAGAGGGAGAGAGAGAGAGAGAGAGAGAGAGAGAGAGAGAGAGAGGGAGGAUAAGAGGGCGAGUGAGACGAGUGCAGACUGGCAGUGACGUAUCAGUCGUAUAAACUCGACCAGCAAUGACAGAGUUUCACUAAAGUCUGAGUUUAAUGCGACGCAUGAAUCUUUAAUAUCAACAAGUUUUCCAGUUUGCAGACAUGCAGGUUUAUUUUCCUCCGUCUGACACAAACCUGAGGUCUGUUUUCUGCGGUAAAAGCUCGUAUUGGAGGUAUAAAUUCAAUUAAAGGUGUGGUAGGCAAGUUUCCAUUUAAGAAGCACCUUAUUUUGUGGUGUUUAUACAAAAACGCUUUUAAUAUCAAUCAAUAGUUAUUAGUUAUUGAUGACAUUUGGGAAUAUCAUGAUAUCGCCGUGUUAUGUUAUGACUAUGUAGUCCCGCUCUUUCUGACUGUAAACAAAGCCGUUCUCCACCUCCUCUAACCUGAUUGGUUGUGAGGCAGACGCUGCUCCCCCGUGUCGUUCAGGAGCCCAAACAAAGUUAGCGUGCUACAAUAUCGGACAGUAGAAACCAACCAGAAAGUUCGGAAAAUUGUCUGAAUCCUCCUUUGGCCACGACUGCCGACACAAGCAAGAAAACACUCAAACAUAAACAGUCAGCAAGAAAACAGUCAGCAAGAAAACAGUCAACACCAAACCGGUCAACAGGAAAAUGGUCAACACCAAAACAGUCAACAAAAAACAGUCAACAAGAAAACAGUCAGCAAGAAAACAGUCAACCAUAAACAGUCAACCAUAAAAAGUCAACACCAAAACAGUCAACAAGAAACAGUCAGCAAGAAAACAGUCAACACCAAACCAGGCAACAAGAAAACAGUCAACAAGAAAAUGCUGCUCCCCCGUGUCGUUCAGGAGCCCAAACAAAGUUAGCGUGCUACAAUAUCGGACAGUAGAAACCAACCAGAAAGUUCGGAAAAUUGUCUGAAUCCUCCUUUGGCCACGACUGCCGACACAAGCAAGAAAACAAAGUAAAUACCGGAGACUCUGGAGGAAUAACGGGCGCUUAAAACGGACAAGAGCUAAAAAGCCGGGUCAACAUAAACGAUGGGGGACGCUUGGGGAUCUUGGUGACCCUGUAACCUUUCUGCUGGACAGGUAAACCGCUUUAACAAAGUAAGACAAGUGUCUGUAACAGAAGUGUUUCUUGUCAAACGGACCUGCUGUAGCGUGUUGUAGCGCCAUCGCUAAACUGUCCUCCCUCGGGUCCUGGACUAUGUCACUUUAUCCUCGUUGUAGAAGUCCUGCAAACAUUGUGUUUGCUGGUAGUCUGUUGGCAUCUACAGUAGCACCAAUGCUUUUGACUUUCACCUUGACUGGGCCCCAUUUGUAAUGAUCUGAAGGAUUUAUCUGCAUUAUAUCUGAAUUUAACUGGAACGAUACGAGCGAGCAGGAACGUCUGUUUGUGGGCGGGGCUUGCUGGAGCAGAGAGAGAGAGAGAGAGAGAGAGAGAGAGAGAGAGAGAGAGAGAGAGAGAGAGAGAGAGAGAGAGAGAGAGAGAGAGAGAGAGAGAGAGAGAGAGAGAGAGAGAGAGAGAGAGAGAGAGAGAGAGAGAGAGAGAGAGAGAGAGAGAGAGAGAGAGAGAGUUUCUCUGUGUUGUCUCUUGAACUCUGUGGCUCUAAAACAGUUGAAGUGUGUUUCUGCUCGAUGAGGUUUCUAUGAGGUGAAUAAAUGUUGGUUCAGUUGAUCUUCAGGACGGCUGCAGCUUUAAGAACUUCUGCUUGUUGGAGUUUGAGAGUCUAAAGUUCACAGAGACACGCCUCUUCCUGGAUUGUAGACAAACUGGAUCCCCCCCUCCUCCCUCGUCUCUCUCAGCUCACUCUCACUUCCUUGUUUCCUCCCCUUCCUUCCUCCCUCCCCUUCAGAUCUACAGUCUUGGUUGGGUGUAACCUCCGUGUGCUGAGCUGAUCCUGCUGACUCACACAUGUUGUUGAGAUCAGAGCUCAGACUAGUUUCACUUCUCAGGAAAUAAAACUCAGUCAGUCGUCGUCGACAGCGAGUGUUGAAAUGGCGCAGAAAGGAGUUCAUCUGGACCGUGAGUCUUUAUCUUGUUCCAUCUGUUUGGAUCUUCUGAAGGAUCCGGUGGCUGUUUCCUGUGGACACAGCUUCUGCAUGAGCUGUAUUCAAUCCCACUGGGAUACUGAGGAUGAGAAGAUGAUCUACAGCUGUCCUCAGUGCAGAGAGACUUUCAUACCGAGGCCUGUCCUGAAGAAAAACACCAUGUUAGCAGGUUUAGUGGAGGAAGUGAACAAGAGCGGACUCCAAGCUGCUCCUGAUGGUUCCUCUGAGGCUGGACCUGAAGAUGUGGCCUGUGACGUCUGCAGUGGGAGAAAACUGAAAGCUGUCAAGUCCUGUCUUCAAUGUCUGGUUUCUUACUGUCAGAUUCACCUCCAGCCUCAUUUUGAAUCUCCUACAUUUAAGAAACACAAGCUGGUGGAGCCCUCCAAGAAGCUCCAGGAGAACAUCUGCUCUCGUCAUGAUGAGGUGAUGAAGAUCUUCUGCCGCACUGAUCAGAAGUCCAUCUGUCAUCUCUGCUGUUUGGACCAACACAAAGGUCACGACACAGUCUCAGCUGCAGCAGAAAGGACUGAGAGGCAGAAAGAUCUGGAGGAGAGUCGAGAAAACAUCCAGCAGAGAAUCCAGGACAGAGAAGAAGAUGUGAAGCUGCUCCAACAGGAGGUGGAGGCUAUCAACGGCUCUGCUGAUAAAGCUGUGGACCACAGCCAGGAGAUCUUCAGCCAGCUGAUCCGUCUGAUGGAGAAACGCCGCUCUGAGGUGGAGCAGCAGGUCAGAUCCCAGCAGGAACGUGAAGUGAGUCGAGUCAAAGAACUUCAGGAGAAGCUGGAGCAGGAGAUCACUGAGCUGAAGAGGAAAGACGCUGAUCUGCAGAAGCUCUCACUCACAGAGGACCACAACCAGUUUCUGCACAGCUACCCCUCACUGUCAGAACCGGGUCAACCUGCAGACUCAUCCAGAAUCAACAUCCGUCCUCUGAGAUACUUUGAGGAGGUGACAGCAGCUGUGUCAGAGGUCAGAGAGAAACUCCAGGAUCUUCUGACAGAGACGUGGACAAACGUCUCACAGGCAGUGACUGAAGUGGAUGUUUUACUGUCAGAACCACCAGGACCAGCAGAACCCAAGACCAGAGCUGGUUUCUUAAGAUAUUCACAAAGAAUCACACUGGAUCCAAACACAGUAAACGAAUGGCUGUUAUUAUCUGAUGGAAACAGAAGAGCAACAUUUACAGGACGACUACAGUCUUAUCCUGAUCAUCCAGACAGAUUCACUGGUUAUCUUCAGGUCCUGAGUAGAGAGAGUCUGACUGGACGUUGUUACUGGGAGGUGGACUGGAGAGGGGACGGGGUUGGUGUAGCAGUCGCAUACAAGACUAUCAGGAGAGACGGGAGAUCAUGGGAUUGUAGAUUUGGAUACAAUGACAAAUCUUGGAUGUUAGACUGUUAUAAAGACAGUUAUCAAUUUAUUCACAACAAAGUCAUCACUGAUGUCUCAGAUCCUCCGUCCUCCAGAGUAGGAGUGUACCUGGAUCACAGAGCAGGUAUUCUGUCCUUCUACAGCGUCUCUGAAACCAUGACUCUCCUCCACAGAGUCCAGACCACAUUCACUGAACCUCUACAUGCUGGACUCUCAACUUCAGGCUCUGCUGAGUUUAUGGAAGUGAACUAAAGAGAAUUUUGAGUCCAUCAGACCAAAAUCAUGGACUGAGAUCCUUGAACUCUUGAAAUGUUCUGGUUUGUAAAUGUUUGUGGAUCAGUCUCACCAAAAACUCUGGGUUUAGUUCUUCAUUUCAGCUUUUUGAUUCUUUUCUAAAGAUGCUGAUUUGGUCGCAGCUUUAAGGACAGUGAUUGUGGAGAACUUUGAUUGUUUGUAUUUCUCAUGUUGAAAAAUCUUCAUCCAGUUUGAUAUCAACAACAUCAAGAUGAUGGUUUGUUCAAAUCACCUUCAGUUGGUGCAGAUGUUGAAGGUCUGAGACUUUAGAAAAAAGUGAGGUCAAAAUCACAGAAAAAGGACGACCUUAUUUCCUGUCCCAAAUCCAAGCGUCUAAAGUCUUUCCAGUCGUCCCCAAAAACUCUUCAGAUGAUCUGUUUCUUUCUCUGUUUGCUGAAUAUUUGUGUUCAUGUGAUCGAUGGAUAUUUCUGUCUGCUUCUGUUGGAUCAGUGUGUUUGUAAAGACAUCUAGAAUCAGACUUUGGACAGAUCUACAUGUUGUUAUGAGCUUUUCAAUCACUCUAAUAAUAAUAAUCACAUUUAUUAGUCCGACUGUUUGGAUGUUUCUGACUCAGCUCAGAUUGUGGUCAAGUCUCUGAUUGUGGGUAAAAAAAUCAUAAAAAUCCUCAAACUGAGUCACUGAAAUCACUUCGUCUGUUUGUCUUUAUUGUGUCUGUUUCUGCUGGAUGUCAUGUUACCGCUCCGUCUGGGUCAUGGAUCCAUGUGGUCUUACAUGUCCCAGAUGUGAGUCCUGCAGCUGGAUCAGGUUUUCUGUAGAGGACAAAGACAGGAGGCAGGUUGUGUGUCUUUUUGAUUUGAUUUAACCAGACUAGUCCUGUUGAGAUCAUCAAUCUCUUUUUCAGGGGGGGUCCUGACCAAGAAUGGCAGCAAAAAACAAACACACUCAGACUCACACAGAUCCACAUCAGCAACAAGAACUCAGUGUUCAUAUGAGAGAGUCCAGCUGAUCUCUAGUCUAAGGAAAGAAGUCUGGUCCACAAGAAGAAAACCGACUUAAAGGUGAAGUAGACAGGAAUCUGUUAAAGAAGCAUCUUUUUAUUUUGUGGUGUAUUUACAAAAAAUCUUUUAAUAUCCUCACCUUAAAUUAAAUUCAACAUGCAUGCAGACAGUCUCAGCCUGAAGAGAUCCACAAAUCCUGAGAGGUCCAUGCACGUCAUUUCCACACCUGGUGGUUGUGACAUGCUCUAACCUGCAGGGGCCUCUUGAUCCACUUAUUAUGCGAGGCAUGUCGCCUUUGCAUUACACAGCUCACCAUCAGAAAUCAGCUGAUAUUGGGCUUCCCUCCUUUUGCAUUUGGAUUCUAAGCUGAAAGUGAAAUCAGUGCCAACCUGGAAGAGCAACUUGACCCCUGACCUCUGCAGCAUGGCAGUUCAGUAAACAGACAGGCGAUGGGACUGUGAGACGGACAGCCGACUGUUUGCUCAGAGCUUAGCUCUUCUUUGCACAGCCUUUUGUCUUCUGUCGACCUCUCUCCUCUCUCUGUUUCCUCCUAUGAAUGAUGCAUGGACCACUGGAUAGACUGAGCGGGCAUUGGAAAUCAGCCGUGACCUUUACUGAUAAGCUGAAAGCCAGAGCCGGCCGUUAUUCCUCUCCGCUGUGAGCUCUGAUCUAAGAAACCUACUCCUUGACUAUUAUGGAAAUCGCUGCUUUCAGGAUAUGAGUUAGCUGUCAGGCGGAGCUCCUGGGAAGCAGCGGGCUCCUUGUUUUAAUUUGAAACUCAUGCUUUUAAAUUUCAGAGACCCUGCAUGGUUGAUGUGACCCGCUGCCAACAACACCGGGGCUUAUUUUCGAGGAGGACAGGAAAAUUCAACUCCUGGCAGACGAGAAUAAAAAAAGCAUGUCUUUCAUUUAGUUGAAAUGAAAAUGCAAACUAGAAAACUCGUAGAAACACUGACAGGAGUUUGUGGGAGGUAGUCAAACAGAAACGCUGUCGGAAAAAGAUGAAAAGUUAAUUAUGUCGUGGAGGUAGGCGCACAGCUGGUUCCUGCAGCGAAUGUUGAUGAAAUGUAACACGAAUCAGAAGCAGAAGUUGAGGCUGUUGAUUGCAGCAGUCUGCACACUGCAAAUGCAAUGAAAUCUAUCUAAUGCAGAUCUACGCCUGCAGGUUCAGGAGCAGUCUGCAAUCAGGUCCUUUUUAAAGAUCCCAUUCAGGGAACAGUAGGGUUCCUUCUAUACAUUAAAAUGACGGCAGGGUCGCUGUUUAUGUACGGUUCUGUCACGGUUAAAUGGAAAUAGUCAGGGGGUCACUUCUGAUGGUUCCUGUCUUUAGUGUUUCUGAUGUUUACAGAAAAAAUCUGCCUUUUUUAACGCCGAUCUAUACCUUAACACUGCUGUUCUGACCUCUAUGCCAGCUGCUCUCCCUGCACUGUGGCCUCUGAAAACUGUAACAGGAAUUUUGACACAAUACAUUUAUUUUUCAAUAUUGCAUUUCAACAACUGUCCAUCAUGUCUCGUGUUGUAGGAGUUUGUGGCAGAUGUUGACGCCUCAAUGACAGAAGCAGAGGUACAUGUUACUGUUUGAUUGAAUACUGUAUUACAGUGGUGAGUGUAAACUGUCCAAGAGAAGAGGCAAAUAAAUGUUACACAGAUCUGCAAUGAAGACGGGACAAUGAUCGAUUUAUAGCAGCCUUAAAAAGUACAUCUUUAACUCGGACACUCAAGGAGAAACUUAAAUCAACAGUGAACUAAUACAGAUAAAAACUAAGAGCGAUAUUUGUCCUACUUUGAUAUCAAACUAGUAAAAAUGUUUAAAAAAUUAACCCAUUUGUAAUAAUUUUGUAUGAUCAGAAUUGGGAGUUAAGUACCAUCCAUCUUCAGGAGAGCAGGAGAACGUCAAGUGAGUUUUACACAUAGACUGUAUUACUAUACUAAACUAUACUAAACUAUACUAUUUAUUCGACACACAGUCUUUGGUUUUAAAUGGCGGUGCUGUUGUGGGUGUAAGAAAGUCAGAGACGCCAAGACCCACCUUACGUUGCUUCUGAUUGGUUUAUAUUUGGUGGUGCCUUCUGUGGUUGGACUGAUGGAUUGGUCUGGGAUUGGUUAUCUCGGUCAGUCAAUCAGAGAUACGACCAAUUUCCAUUGCAUCUAGAAUGGCUGCUAAAAGGUCAUAUCCUCCGAUCGUAGCUGAUCCUAACCGUUCAAGUUAACGUGUCAAUUUACACCGACUUCUUUCCGCUCCUCUGCGGAUCGCCGGACUCCUCAGCUGAUCACAACAGUUCUAUUUUUCUGGACGCCUGAAGUCGGCAAAGUCGGGCACAGACACAAAAUAAAACAUCCGGCUUCUUUUCAAAAUAAAACACUCCGUGUUUCAGGAGGAUCGUAUUUAUUCACACCAUGCAAACGGGCGAAGACGAACAAGUGAAAUUCGCCUCACAAACGGAUCUGGUAGGAAUUAGCGUACGGUGAAAAUUGGAGCCAUUCCGGAUGCGGUGGAAAUCUCAGGUUACUAAAACUACGGCAGGCCAAGUUAAUUAUCAUGAAAAAAAUAAAUAAAGAGGAUUAAAUCUGGAAAUAUAAGCAUCAGAAAUGUCAAGUGUGGCGUAAGAACGUCUUGACUGUCAACCUCAAAGCGUGACGCUCGGCAGCUCUGCUGUUCACAUCGAUAUCCGUCCCUCCGCUCCGGUCUUCAUUCUUGCUUUGUCCGAACAUGAGUCAUCUCGUUCACCUUGUCUUUUGUUUGGAUGAUAAAAUGUUGCUGCUCAAGAUUUUAUGAGGAUUUCCGUCUGAGCGCUGACUUUUAUCCUCUCCAGCUCGUUGUUAAAGGCGGCGCUCUCACCUUGAAUCUGGUCAAACGGAGGAUUUAUACGGAAGCUUGACGAGACCUCAGCAGCUUCAGAAACGAGGAGAGUGAUGUAGAAGAAGAAUGGAAGAGGUCCGGGAUGAGGACCCUGAGGGACUCCGCAGGUCCUACAUGGAUGCUGCGUCCAGAAAAUAAAGACUCUUCAUCCAGGGCUCCAAAAGUGCAGAUUUACAGUGUGAUGAGUGUCAGUGGGUGGUGUUACUCAGUGCUAAGUGGGAUAGUGUGUUAUUUUAAGAAACACACACUAAUGAGCGACAGCAGCCUCCCCUGCCUUUGUUUGAUGGUGUUUUAACGGGGGUACGAGGAGAUAAACUCUCCUAAUUGUUGACAUGAAAGGACACCGCUCUCUCAGAAGUCGCUUGUAAAACUCGUGAGUCCCUUUUUUUUUUGGCUUGUUUUUAACUCGUAGUUGUUUAAUUGGACUCGCUGUCCUGUUAAAUGAACCUCCUGAUUUGAAGUUGAAGUUAUUGUUGGUUCGGCCCUCCAACACAGUUCAGGCCCAUGUAAAAGUUCAUCACCCACCCCUGGUCUAGAUGAUCUGACAGGGUGAGGAAGUGGUCCAGAGGAUCGGAUCAGAGUCCGGUCUGUUUGGACUACAGCGCUCGGCUCCCUCUCCUCGGUCCAUCAGUCCACUUUGUGGGUCUUUGAGUCAACAUGUGGUGCUGCAGUGUUUGUUCUGUUUAAUGGAGGGAGAGAGGAGAGAGGAGUAGGACCUGGAUCUGACUCAUACUGUACCCCCCCCAGACCACCUCCUGAAAACGGCGUGACAAACUCGCUGUUAUCUCCUCUUCCUUCCUCCUUCAGUCACCUUGUCCUCCCCUCCUCUCUUCACCCCUCCUCUCUUUCUCUCUUUCUUCCCUGUAAUCCUGUGAAACCCCCCCCCCCCCCCCCCACACACCCCUUCACCUCCAGGUUUGCCCCCCCCCCCCCCCCCCUCUCAGAUGACAUGAGUUGAAUGUAAAAGACAUCAUUUGAGUGCAGGUCUUGUUCCAUUCAAGGUUGUCAGAUUGGAUUUCUGCUUUCUGUUUGGCUUGUACCUCAAAAACUUCUCUUUCCCCACCUCUCCUCUCUCCAUCCCUUCAUUCCUCCCUCUGUUCCACCUCUUUUAUUUCCCUCCAUCUGGAGGCAGUAAACCUAAUUUCAUCGUGACAGGAAUAUGUCGUCUCAAUUAGCUUAAAGUACUUAAUCUAUUAUGACGACUACGACGACUGCAGCGGCUCGUUCUCCCUGUUAACCCUCACACUCUGUCCUUGUCGAACGUAUUUGCAAAGUUCGGAUCAUUUCUGUUUAAAUACAGAGGAGAGAGUUAUUUUACAGAGUCAUGAAGCUCUUUGUAGUUUUAAUUAGUUUGAUUUCACAGUUUUUCCAGUAGUGUGGGAAGUGUUUCAUGAGCAGGACUGCCAAGGUCAGACUUUACCGCCACUACCACGUCUACUACAACAGGGUUGGCUGUAAAACUUCCUUCUUUCUUAUCAUGUGUGGAGUGUCACAGAGCGCUGCGACCAAGGCCACUCCUGGGGCGCAGAAAGUUCCUCGACCUCCAUGAUGUAGCCAAACGAGAGUGCACUAAAGUCUUACCCCCAAUUUACCUCGAAUCUGGAAAGGCUCCGAUCUGGAAUGAACACAAGAACCCGCGGAUUCACGUGCAAUCAUGCGAUAACAAGUUGUCUCUAUAAAGACGGCCGCAGAGGCUAAGAGAUCGUACCUGUCGUACCUAGCCCUCAAUUUCCACCUUCAUCCUGAUCGUCUCCUAAAAGGUCGUAUCCUCCGAUCGUAGCUGAUCGUAACCAUUCAAGUUAACGUGUCAAUUUACACCGAAAUUUCGCCGGACUCCUCAGCUGAUCACAAGAGUUCUAUUUUUUCUGGACGCCGGAGCAUGGCGGAUAAAUUCAGCACAGAUUAACCCGUGCUGGAAAGGAAGUCGGGCACAGACACAAAAUAAAACAUCCGGCUUCUUUUCAAAAUAAAACACUCCGGAGACGAACAAGUGAAAGGUUUUUAGACGUCAUUUCACCCCGAUGACACCAUGGAUGAGGAGAUGCUGAUUCUAGAAGUCUAGAAGUAGAUUUCCUCCUCUGGAAGGACACAAUCUACUGCUUAUAUGUCUAUGUGUCUGUCUUUAGAGAGACAACUCAUUAUCGCGCAAUUGAACGUGAAUUCUUGUGAGUUUUCACGAUUCCUGCUGUCCGAAAUCUGCCUCAAUGAAAUUCGCCUCGCCAACGGAUCCAGUAGGAAUUGUUGGAUGGCGAAAAUCGGAGCCGUUUGGGAUGCGGUGAAAAUUGGGGGUUAGAAGCGUGUAAAACACAUGACCCGAUAAACCCUCAAAAUUAACUUUGCACGACCCACCAACUCCACCCAACGUUGUAGUGUCCUUUUUUUGGGGGGAUUCAGAAUUUGGUCACCCUAAGUAACAAGAUGCUCCUGAUUGAAUCUGUAUCGUCUCAUGAAUACCCAGAAUUCUUACUCGAUGAGUCUCUCUCUUUCUGUGAAGAAGCUGAAGCUGCAGCUGUAAUGAGGCAUGGCGAAGAAAGGACUUCGCUGAUUGACCGCGCAGAGGUUUUGUAAAUGCAGGCGUCAAAUCAAAGCCCUCCCUGUUUAUCACGGAGCUCCUGGAGAUCAGAAACGGCGGCACGCGGUUAUCUGGUCCGUCAUAUUUCAAAGGGAAACAGCUGCAGUCGGACUGACUCUGGGGAAUUCUCUUUGUUAACUUGUAUGUGACCAGAAAUUUCAUGGUCGUCUCGCUGGUUGCCUAACAACUGCCCAUUCGGACACGUUGCACCCCCUCCCCAAAGGACUGAAAGCUGUUUUUUCAGAGUUUGUGCUCUGUGCCGGAGAAGAGGUUGUGUUGGAUUUCUAAAAGAGGCAGACUUGUUCGCUCGUAUUUGUGUUUCUCUGGUUUCCAAAAAAAUAAAACACACAUUUCAUCAGUGGAUGUAAACCAGCGAGGGUCGGCGGUUUGUGAUCGAGGCUGAAGAAGAAAAAGAGACAUGCAGCGCAUCUCUAACCCUGACCCCUCCUCUCUCCUCUGUCUUAUCUCUCCCACCCUGAUCUUUGUCUCCAGCUGUUGCCAUAGCGACAAACCGGUCUCAGGAGACGGGGGCCAGUUAGCCGUAAAUUGACUCUCCACACACACACACACACACACACAGAGACGGCAUCACACGCACAGAUGCAAUAAAGCACGUGCGCAGACGGUUUGAUGGCGGGAGCCUCCUGAAUAUAAAAUGUAAACCGUCUUUGAGUUUUGGUCCAAAGUGCUCACCGUAUUUUUUUUUUUUUUAAAUCAAGGCACAACUGAGCAAUCACCCGAGAGAGAGAGAGAGAGAGAGAGAGAGAGAGAGAGAGAGAGAGAGAGAGAGAGGGAGAGAGGGAGAGAGGGAGAGAGGGAGAGAGGGAGAGGGGGAGAGAGGAAUCAAUCUCAUCAGCAUAUAGGGGUCUCUUGACGCCCUCAUGCACAGACCUCUAUAACCUGAGGGAACGAUUGAAACCAGGUUAGGGUCUUCAGUCCUUUUUGGUUCUCUUGUUUUUGAUUCCUUAAAAUAAAGCUUGAAAUUUUAAUUUUAAUCUUGUGGCGUCCAGUGAUCAGACCAAGACACUAAGACAGAAGAACUACCGCGUCUGCAGAGAAAAAUAAUUAAUAUGAUGAUUAUUACUUUAAGGAAAUGAUAAAGAAAUGAUCAUAAAUGUUCUUCCUUGAGCUGCGGCACCCCGCUGUAGUCCGUAAUAGACUGGUCUGAGGUAUACACACCAUGAUCCGUGUCCAAAAGCUCAUGAUUUAUUUCAUUUUUUGGUAAAUGAUGAUUUUCAUAAAUAAUAAGGUCAAACACAGAACAGAUGAAAAAAAUUAUCUGUUUGUCUUAUUGAUUUAAAACCGUUUUAAUCCCUUUUUUGGUUUCUAGUGCUACACAAAUAAACUUCCCUUGACUUUUAUGCAGUUCCCCAAAACGAUAUGUGCAACUCCAUGGCUCCAAACUUUAUUUUUCAUCUACGACCACUCUGCUCUCACAAACUCUCCAUGGUUGCAGCCGAUGGCGCACGCAAAAUACUCAUUUAAAAAGGGCGGUCCGCACCACUUUUGUGCACGCAAUGAUAGUAGAUCACCCGCAACAGGCCCACUAAUAGCAUGUGCAAUUUUUUAGUUUGAACACGCAAUUUAGCGCUCGCUAUUUUGGAUCUCAGUAGAUCAUGCCCUAUAUGUCCUGUUGAUGAAGUUAGGUGCUGUUCUGAGCUUUAUUUGUGGCUAUAGAGUGGCGUUUUGGUUGAGGGCGUGGCUCUCUGUAUUUCUAUCCUGCGGUCGUUACUAAAGUUGGUAUAACUAGAGAAGCAAGCGGUCGACAACAUUCAUCUCUGGAGGGGGGGUCUAACUCGGAAUAUCCCUUAAACAGAGUAAAGGUGGAAAAUGAUUAGAAAUUCAGUAUUCUGAUUUUAUUCUCCUGUUUUGUUCAAAAUUCAUUUAAAUUUGGGUCUGUGUGAAUAUUUUUGCAGAAAAAAUCUGUAAAAUCAGAUUUUAUGAUGAUGACAACUCAAAAUUCAUUUCUACUCAAAACGUCAUUUUUGCAGAAAAAAACCAUUUGAGGGAAUCAGACUCGUGGUGAAAUUGGCUUCAUUAAAGAGGACGGCAGGAGACGGUGGCAGGAGGCGGCUACUGACACAGAAACACUGAGGAUGUCAGAAUAAAUAACCAAGCAGUUGCUGUGAGAUGUGUCUGAAGUUCCCCUCAAAGCCAGAGGGGGGGUGAGGAGACUCAAACUGGGAGUUUAGGAUGCUCAGUGCACACACACACACACACACACACACACACACACACACACACACACACACACACACACACACACACACACACACACACAGGCUAUAUUAACCCUGGGCUAAUAAAAUUGCUCUCUCAGCUCAUUUCACACCCACUGAUCUCAUAAAGCUGACAUGAUUUCCUGCUCACAACAGGUGCACACACACACACACACACACACACAAACAAACAAACACACACACUCAUAAAUUUGUCGUCUCAGCUUACACCUACACAGCUCAGAGAGAAGGAUGGCGUUCCCUCGUCACCGCCGUUGCAUUAAAGUGCACGCUCAGCGGCGGUUUCAGACGGGGGGGACAGGUGAACUCGGAGCUUUUAAAGACACAUCUGAAACUUUUCAUUUAUCCUUCUGCGAACGUGAAGUGCGCUGAGACACCUCCACAGAAAGCAAACAAAAGCGUCUUAUAUGAACGGUUUGUUGAUUUGAUGCACCUGCUUGUUAAACAAACUGCAGACUGGACAGUAAAUCUGCUGACUCCAGGAAACACCUGCAGGAGGAAACAUGCUGACCGAAAAUACCCCGAAAAUCAGUCCAUGUAUUAUUCUUAUUCGUCUUAUUCUAUCGUCUGAUUUUUAAUAAUCUAAAUGUAUAAUGUAACACUGAGCGGCACCGACUUUAUUUGCUCCUCUGGCUUUUGUGUAAUAACAGAACCAAUUAGCCUAAUCACAGCGGGUCCACCAUUACAGCCCUGUCAUUUUCAAUUAAGAGCCCAGUCAGUCUGAGCCGCUCCUGUUUCCUCAUGAGGGUUCGCCUUUGUUGACAACGAUAACUGCUCUGUGUGUAAUGAAGGGUCAGGGCGGAGACUCAGGAAUCGGAGAGCAGUCUUCAGGGACAGUUUUUACACAUCAAAGUAUUUUACUCAUAAACAGAUGAGGAAUGACCCGGCUUAGGUGGUCAUACCAAAAAAGAGGAGACACACACGAUGCACAAGAUUAGAAAUGAAUCAAAUUAGAAUAUGUAAGAAAUGAGGUGUGUAAAUCAGGUGUGCGCGGGUGUUGUAUAAAGCAAACUGCGACUAAACCGACCAAAACAAAGUUCCUGUAAGGAGGCCAGGAGACAGGAGGAGAGCGCAAUAACCCGCAGCAGCCAGAGCCCAGGUGUGCAAGAUUACUCUGAGACCAACAAGACACGCCUGCAGCAGCAUGAUCCUACAGGGGCGUCACAAAGUAGGGUGACCAUAUUCUGAAUCCCAAAAAAGAGGAUAUAACCACAUGAGGGAGUCACGAAAUCGCGUGUAGUUUAUUUUGAGAGUUUUUCAGGUCGGAUCAUAUUUUUUUUGCGACACAAACUCGAAACUUCCUUACCAAACCCUGGACGUUUGAAGGAUUUUAAAAACUCCCCCAGACAAAAAAAAAGAGGACAUGUCUGGAUAAAAGAGGACACUCUCUUCCAGCAGCCGCUUGUUUGUAGCGAGACCUUUGGGCGAGUCCAUUACGGACUACAGCGGGGUGACGCAGCUCAAGGAAGAACAUUUACGAUCUACUAAUGAUAAACUCGGUCUGAUUGUAUUUCAAAAAAGAAAUGAUAAUACAUGUUCUUCCUUGAGCUGCGGCACCCCGCUGUAGUCCAUAAUGGACUCUACAAACAAGCGGCUGCUGGAAGAGAGUAGGUGAGUUGUGUUUAGUCUCUUUGCUAAAGAAAUGAGUCAAAGUUAAAAAGAUGUUUGGUGUCUAGUACUAUGUCUGUGACCCUAUAUGUCCUGUUGAUGAAGUUAGGUGCUGUUCUGAACAUUAUUUGUGGCUAUAGAGUGGCGUUUUGGUUGGGGGCGUGGCUCUCUGUAUCGCUAUCCUGCGGUCGUUACUAAAAUUGGUAUAACUAGAGAAGGAAGCGGUCGACAACAUUCAUCUCUGGAGGGGGGGUCUAACUCGGUGUUAUGAUGUUUUUGACCCUUAAUUUUAUGUCGGAAUAUCCCUUUAAUGUAUGAGGGGGUGAGCAGCUUGUGGAGUUAUCGUCAUAUUUAUAGAUAUCGAGGCAAACUGCUCAAUUUAUCAUGAUAUUGAUUUGAGGUCCAUAUCGCCCAGCCCUAAUUUGUUCUUCGCUGUAUGUCAUGUUAGGGUCUUCUAUUUCUUCUCCUCAGUCCAUUUUUUCUUGAACAAAUACUUCAAGUCGAGGUUCGAGUCUUUUGACUUUGACUUUGUGCAGAGGAACGGUUUCCCUCCAUGCAGUGAGACUGUUAGAAUAAUGUGCAUAAAUGUAUAUAGAAGUUAUCAUUAUUCCUCAUAUUCUUAUGUAAGAGUUUAUACUACAAGUGUAAACUGCUUUGACCUCUUUUAAUACAUUAUAUAAGAGUAUUUUUAUCAUAUAAGAGUGUUUCCUAACUUCUCUCUCCAAUAGAUUUACUACACAGCAGAACAAUGUUCUUUCAGUUUUCUGUGACUGUGUCUUUCCUAUCAGCAGGUGGGGGUGUGUGAGUGAUGGAUCCUCCGCUAUAAAUCGUGGGGAGUUUUUGAGGAGGUGCCGCUGUUAUCAGAAGGAGCUCGUUAGAUGCCGCCUUGACCUUCACAUAUUCACAAGUUGCUAAUUAUUAUGCUUUAUGAGAGUGCUUACGUUGCUACACAUAUUUUUCUCCACCCUUUUAGAAACAUUGUGUAACCAGGGACAAGACUAAAUAAAAGAGACUGGGCGGAAAUACCUUUCAGAGUGGUUUCGACAUGGUACCUGAAGCUAUCUCGGUCCAUUCUCCUCGAUUAUAUACCAUUGUCUUUCUCUUCUUUAUAUGUUAUCAGGUAAAUGUUGCAGGUUUUAGACCUAACAGAGACCCUUUUUCAACACCACUGCAGCCGUCUAAAUCCAGCACAGGAACCUGAACGAGAAAUGGAAAUGACAUGGAAAUCUGAAGGUAAUAAGGUCACGGCGGUGUUUUGUCAAACCUUGAUUCUGUCAUAAUGGCGCCUGACCUCUGAUUUGAUUAACAUUUGGACUGAUAUAUCGGUGAUGAUGUAGGAAACCUUUUUACACCGCCGCUUAUUUAAGCCGCUGUGAGAGAAAUAUUCAGUUAUGCAAGAGAGGAGCCUGAGCCACAUAAUGUAUACUAAUGAUCCCGGCCCUUCAGCGGCGUAAUUGCACAUGGCUGUAAUAACAGUGAGGUCGCUCUAAGUUUGCUUGGCCUGCUGAUCACAUUGAGUAUGUAGAUUAUACCUCUUCAUCAUGCAUUUAUGCGUAUGUACCCCGACUGUGAGGGUAUAUUUACACCCGCUCUCCCACCCUUUCAGUUGCACUAAUUGUAAGUUAACAAAGCUUCAUCAACGUGGCGUUGACCUGAGAGGACCUGAGCUGUCCCGUCCCUGUAUGUUCAUCACCACCCAGCUACUGUUCGACUCGACGCUUGAUUACAUCAAUUAAAAACUUCGACAAUGUGACCUUCAGCGUCGUGACUUCAUUAAAAUUCCUGCUGUGUUUUGUUCGGCAGGUUCCCGUGUGGAUUUAUCGCCUGUACUGUCAGAAAAUGACUUUGACGUGAUCAUUCAGCGAUUCUCCAUCUGUUGGCAAAAGCUUUAGUACCUUAAAACAUCGUCACCUACGCUGUAAACGGACAUCUGUUCAUCAACGCUCAGAGGUUGUGUUGUUAUGAUCUGAGUUUACCUCGUGACUCUGAAGAAUAAUAAAGAUAUCUCAUCUCUUUCUCGACACGACGACACCGAUGGUACAACGACCCGUUUUCACCCCGGAGAUUUAAUUUACUUUAUACAACAUUUUCAUACUUUGUUGUUGCAGAUUAAUCACAACCGUGACUUUCUCAGCAACAACAAAGAACUUAUUUCCUCCAGUGUUGCCAACUCUGUGACUUUGUCGCUAUAUUUAGUAAGUUUUCAGACCCCUCUGGCAACUAAUAUUCAAAAAAGCGACAAAUCGAGCGACUUUUUGUGGGGUCAUUGGAGACGCUGACGUUCAAGCACGUAUCACCUACUCUUCUUAACGAGCAGCGUGUGCUGCCGUGACCCUCAACCUCAUCCCACAGCGCUCACAGGGGGCCGAGUCACCGUGGGUUACAGCGGUCCCUCGCAGCUGCAGUCAGAGGAGAUGUGUGCAGGGAUGGGAAUUGAUACGAUUUUAUCGAUAUCAAUGCCGUUAUCGAUUCAAUUCUUUAUCGAUUCCCUUUAUUUGAUUUUUUUUUUUUUAAAGGUAGGCUAUAGGUUUUCAUCGUUAACUCAAAAUUUUAUUGAGUCUCUGAUAACAGAAAAAACUGUAUUUGAUGCCGUGCCCCGUUGACAAAUGUGUAAGCAUGUUGCGCUGUUGUCGUCUCUCGUUGUAAAAUUAAGUCACGCUUUAGAUCGUUCCUGCCGACUUUUCAUUGAGUCUGCUUUUUUCUCCGUCUCUGUUCUUCACGUAGACUGGCACUCACGAAACCGUUUUUAAAUGCACCCGGAAGAGACGAAUUGUUAAGGGAAUCGUGUAAAAGAUAAAAUGUAAAUGAUGUCGAUAGAUUUAACCAUUUGGAACCAGUUCUCAAAAAGAACCGGUUCUCGAUUUCCAUCCCGAGAUGUGUGCACUCCAACUUCACCCUAUCCCUAACGAAAAAAAAUACAAUGAACCUGCGUUAGGGCCAGACGAAGAUCGUCUCACAUCUCUAUCGACAGUUUUUUUCUAUUGUCUCUUUUUGAACCAAACAAAACUAAAAAUAUUUCUAAACAUCUUAGGGAUGUUUUUCUUCCUACUUUUUGUCUCUUCCACGAUGUUCUUCCUCUCCCUCACAGCAUCCAUUACAAUUUGGUCAAUUAUGCAAAUUAGGCGAUGACGUCAUUUAGCGAUUUCGAGUGACUUUUAGGACAGUCAAUAGCUACUUUCCUUACUGCGGAGUUGGCGACACUGAUUCCCUCACAGGACCUUCAAAAAGCGUCCAAACCUUUCUGGGUCUGUCGUCUCUCUGGGCUUGUUGGAUUGGGACCAAAUGUAGACCACCGUUCUCAGGUCUUCAAAAUCCGUCUUUGUCCGAGUUUUUGAAGGACAGUCACAUCGUCGUCCCUGAUCUAUUGAUUCAUCGUCUUGGCCGUGUGUUUAAGGUUAUCAACUCUCCGACGAUGACUCAGUUUGGCCCGCUUUGAGCUCCUGGGCGCUCUUUAGCAGGUUUUAAUUAAGUCUACCUUUCCAGCGCGUGUGUGUGUGCGUUUCAGGUUUUCUGUGCCAAUGAUGAGCGCUGCCAGGUUUCCUCCAGAUAGAGAGCUCGGUUGUUGAUCCUGGUUUCCCCUUCAUAGAUCAAAACCGAAGACUAAGAGCGUACUUCGCUCUCGAAUCGACAGGCUGAUAUCAGGAUUUGUCAUUUUCACCACAAUCUGCUCGACUUUUCCAAACAUUUCUGUAUUCCUGGACACAAAAACACUCGAUUCAUGUGUUUGCGUCCGUCAGGAAAGAGAGCAGUCCAUCUGAGGAUGAAGUGUUGCCGUCUAUUGCAACAUCUGCUCACAGGAGCGUGAAAUAUCUCCUGACAGAUGGACACUGAGGGUGGAGGUUCGUAAUGACGGGGUGAGUGACAGAGUGACACUGAUACAGGCGGACGCAGCUUUGGAAAACAGUCCGAGAGGAUGAGGACGAGGAGUGGGGUUUAAACCUGCAAGGUGUUAGUUCAGGCAGGUUAUGAAGUCGAGCUCAGCUCAGUGGCUGACAUCGUGACCACGUCUUCUGCGAACCUCUUUUCAAACCCAGUCCCUCCGUUUCAUGCUAUGGUUGAUUUUCCAAUGUCAUAUGGGUUACCAUUGAUGCCUGCGCAGUCCUACAAGGUUCUGUCUUACCCGGGAUUUCCACCGCAACUGGAACGCCUCCGAUCCAGAACGGCCGUACGCCAAUUCCUACCAGAUCAGUUUGCGAGGUGAAUUUCAUGCAGACAGCAGGAAUCAUGUGCAAUCGGGAGAUAACAAGUUGUCUUUAGCUGCGUAGGCUAACCAUAUAAGCAGUAGAUUGUGUCCUUCCAGAGGAGGAAAUCUACUUCUAGACUUCUAGAAUCAGCAUCUCCUCAUCCAUGGUGUCAUCGGGGUGAAAUGACGUCUAAAAACCUUUCACUUGGGAGUGUUUUAUUUUGAAAGGAAGCCGGAUGUUUUAUUUUGUUUUUGUGCUCGAGUUCCUUUCCAGCACUCUUGCAAUCGGCUGUGGAGUCCGGCGAUCCGCAGCUGAACGGAAAGAAGUCGGUGAAAAUUGACACGUUAACUUGAAUGGUUACAAUCAGCUACGAUCGGAGGAUACGACCUUUUCAUAGCUGUUCUGGAUGCGGUGGAAACUGGGGGUUAGCUGCUGCUCUCCCCGCCUUAGAUAGUGAGGAUAGAAUAAGUCCAUAGAUCAUCUGUCCACCUCUUAUCUCCACUUCUGUUUGCUGUAGGUUUACCCAGCUGUCACUGAGUUUGUUUUUGCGUUUGCUCUCACUUAUUUAGUUACCAGUUAACCCGACAAACAAGUAUUUAGACCUAAAGUGAAGGAGCCAGAGUAGUAAGAAGGAACUCAUCCAUGAGGAGACACAGACUCAGACCCAGCCUGUUAAACCAGGGAUGCUAUUAGGUGACAGAGCUAACAGUCACUCAGAUCACUGAAUCCAAUUACAGUCUCUUUGGGAGGAGAUGUAUGCAGAAGGGCUUUCUUUGGAGAUCUUUCGCAGCAGCUGAUUAAAUUUAAGGAACAGAAAACAGAAAAAUGAGUUCUCUUCACUGUAAAUAAAUGCUGCUUCAUAAAAUUCCAAGAUUCACCUGAAAGUAAUCUUGCAAAGCAGAUAAAUCAGACAGAUUUCUUGUCCAUUUUUUAUUUAUUUUUUUGCUUUAAUAUUUGAAGUCUAAGAAAGUUUCACCAGUUUUUUUUUUCCAAACUCCCAUGACUCUGUUAUCCUGCCGAAGAAAGGGGAGAGCAGAGUCCUGAGGUAAAACGAUGCUGUCGCCCGGAUUGCAGGACAGGACGUUGUUGCUGCACUUCCACCUAUUAGAAUGUUUGGAGUCCAUGAACUCCUCAGACUCUUAUUUUUGUAACCAGGCAGAGUUGAAUAACCAAAAAAAUGACUCAAAAGCAAAACAAAAAAUGAUUUAUUUAAAAGAAUGAAAUAAAAACCAACAAAAAACUUCCUUCCAAAGAACACAAGAAACAAAAUCCAAACAAAAGACAGAAAUAGAUCACAAAUAUGAACACACAACGACAUACAAUAAACCAACAAGGACAGAGGGGAAGACAGGGACUGCAUAAACGCACACAGGUAAACGAGACACAGGUGAGACCCAUGAGUGAUUAACGAAGGAGAGAAAACUAGAGAAGUAAAACCAGACGAGAAACACAAGGAACCGACUCCUACAAAAUAAAACUCAGUCUGUUCUGCGCUCUUUUAUUUGUUUAUCUUUCUCUUUUUCUCUCUACCUUCAUUUUCUCUCAUUUAUCGUUUAAUCUAUCUUCCUCUUCCUCCUCCUCCUCUCUUCAAGGGCAGCGGGGUAAACACAGUCCAGACAUUCUGGUUUUGUCACGGAGGCGUCGGGUUGCAGAGGGACUCAUUAAGAGAGCCGGAUGAUUUCAUUGUUGACAGAGCCGUCCCCGCCACGCUCGGCUAGCUUGUUAGCGACACGCGGGGAGGUUCCUGUGUGUUCAGGUUGGCCAGGAAACCUCAGGGGUCAUCGUGUGAGCGUCCGCCUGAAGGAAUAAAAGACAAAAACAAACAUUUACUCCAGAUGCUGCUUUACUCAUCCAUCAUGAAAGACUCCUGAGCUCCGCCUGGAGCAGGGUUACAUUCAAACACAGACUUUUCCUUGAAAACUCCCAAAGACGCUCUCAUAAAUGAAUCUAGAUCAGUUUAUUUAAGUUAAACAUCAUCUCUGGUUCAGGAAAACUGGAAGUGAUGGUGGAAGAUCCUCUAAAUCUUUAUUCAAACAUCGAUCAAGAUGAAAACUGGGGCAAAUUCAUAAAGAGAUGGGAUUAUGUUUAUCAGUACCUGUUACCCCCAAUUUCAACCGCAUCCAGAAAAGCUACAAAAAGCCGUAUCUGCUGAUCGUAACCAUUAAGUUAACGUGUCAAUUUACACCGACUUCUUUCCGUUCCUCUGCGGAUUGCCGGACUCCUCAGCUGAUCACAAGAGUUCUAUUUUUUCUGGACGCCGGAGCAUGGCGGAUAAAUUCAGCACACAAUCGGUUACAUGCUGCCACUCCCACAUCUCAGCAUUCCGACGAAGCUAAGGGAGUGGGGGGUGGGAGAUGCGCAUUCACAUCUGGAGUCUGUCAUUUAAUCCCGAGCGUAGCUGGGCGCGACCCAGAGGGCUCCGCGGCCGACCAUAGCAGACGAGAGCUGUCGGAAUGACGAGAUUGAUAGCAUGGUAACAUACCGCCACUUCAACAGUUCGAGACCAAUGUCGGAAUGGCGGGAUGUCGGAACGGCGGUUGCCCCCUGACACAAUCUACUGCUUAUAUGGUUACCCUCUGUGGCUAAGAGACAACUCAUCGCGUGACUUCGCGUGAAUCUACAGGUUCUUAUGAGUUCUCCUGAUUCCUGCUGUCCGUAAAUGGCCACGAAAUUCGCCUCACCGACGGAUCUGGUAGGAAUUGGCAGACACCAAAAACCACUGCCAUUUGUUAGGUGUCUGCCAAUUUUCCAGUGGCAGACACACCUGAUUAAUCAGUUUGUCCAAUAAUGUAAGACAGGAAAUAAAGGAGCUGACUUAAGUUCAGGAAGUCGUGGAUCGGUGGAUAGAGUCCGUUUUCGGCUUCUCUAUGGUGCAUCUAGGAGACACAAAUGUGUGACCGACAACCUUUUCUCAAUACGCUUUAUCGUUUUUUUUAAGAAUUUAAGUUUGAGUCUGGAAACGAUCACUCUGUCAAAGUUGUUUAACUCAGUUAAAUAUCGUCACGUUGACAGACUUUUAACACGGAGACCGUUUUCUACCUGCUGUUUUUCUGAGAGGUUGUGUAACCAGAGUUGGAGAAAGGAAGCGCACCACUGUGCCAGAUUCAUUUAGCAGUGGCAUGAGUUGUUUUCCAUCAGGAUUAAUGAGCUGCGUACGGAGAUGUGAGGAGACAAAUAAGAUCACCGAACCCUCCUGAGCUUUGGAGGGUUGAUCUGGUUCCACUAAUGAGGAGGACGUAAAUAGAAAUAGGUGGUGUAAGUAUAAUUAUCAAGGGGAGUUAAGAGGGGGGAAACGAGGACAGUAGUGAGACGUUACAGAUCAGAAUAAUGACAUUUACUUAACAAAACGUACCCUAAUUCAGGAGGAUUCACAAACACUAAAAUGCACCAAAGAUCUUGACAAACGAAGGGUCGGACUUCUCAUCCAUCAUCUGUAGAGUGAUCCAUGUUCACCCUCUCAUCAUCUAAGAGAGGUGUUGUUAUAAAGGAAACAUAAGUGAGGUAUAUAAUGUGCUUUAAUGUAAAUAUUACCGAGCUAGUUUAAUGUUCAGUCUGUCUUAAGAAGAGCCGACAGAAACAAUCAUGUUUGAUUCGAGAUCACUUUUAUGAUCCUCAUCUUCUCUGUUUUUAUCUCCUUAAAUUAACUUCCACCUCUCUCACCUCUCUGUUUCCUUCUUCUCUAACGUAUCCAUCCUUUCCUCUCUCUCUCUCUCUUCUUGUCUUUCAUGCUCGCUCUCUCCUCUCUUCACGCUCCGUACCCUUCACCUGCCCACCUCCCUGCCUUACAUAACUCUUUCAUCUCUGAUCCCAAACAUCCCUCCCUCCCUUCAUCCUCUCUUCCUCUUAUCUCUCUCUCCUCUCACCUCACCCCUCGUUUUAUCAUUUCUCUACACCCUUAUCUUUCUUCUCCUUUCACCAUUACCAGUUUCCUUCUUCAUCUUCUUCAUCUUCAUCUCCGUCAUCCUCCUCUUUUCUCCUGCAGGCUGUCCGCCUCUUCACCCACUCGCUUUGCAAAACUGUGAUUAGCGUUGACCUUACAGGCGAGUGAAGGAGAAAGAGAUGUUUAUUUCUGCGGCUCUGUGCAUGCAAAUGAACUCUGAGCGCGUGCGUGUGUGCGUGUGUGUGUGUGUGUGUGCGUGUGUGUGUGAGCAGGCCUGUUUGCUUAAUUGCAGGCGUCUUUUCUCACUGUUUUGUCUCAGGGGAGUCCUGCAGCUUUCCUUGGAAACCAUCUACAAAACAACAUCAGCGACAUCAACAACAACAACAACAGGAGCGCCGUCCUGCUGCAGUCUGCGGCGCUCGCACUCGACUGUACAUGAGGCAGCAGACUCUGUGGUGAUGAAUCAUGGGAGUUCAGAGAUGCUCUGUUGUCAGCUGACGGUUUGAUGCCAUUAAGGAUAUAAUCGCUCAAAGACAUUCUUGGUCGACGAAAACGCUGAAAUUUUCAAACCAAAAAUCGACUGAAUCGGGUGAAAAUACACGAAUAUCAACAGAAGACGACAAUGAAACACUAAUAUUAUGAUAACACUUAACUUGACACCUAUCUCUAUUACGCAUAACGUAUAAUGCAUUAUAAUCACGUUACCAUAUUGACAGUAAAUUGAUGCAGAAAGAAAUUGAGUCAACCAAUCAGAAUUUUGGUCGACUCAGCUCGUAUCGACCAAUAAGUCGACCAACGGACUAGAACUUUACAGCCCUAUAUGCCAUAUUGGAUUAUAUAUUAAAGGGAUGUUCUGAUGAAUGUUGCCGUCCGCUUGCUUCUCUAGUUAUACCAACUUUAGUAACGACCGCAGGAUAGAAAUACAGAGAGCCACGCCCCCAACCAAAACGCCACUCUAUAGCCACAAAUAAUGCUCAGAACAGCACCUAACUUCAUCAACAGGACAUAUAGGGUCACAGACAUGUGAUCAUAAAUGUUCUUCCUUGAGCUGCGUCACCCCGCUGUAGUCCAUAAUGGACUAGGUCUCUCUACAAACAAGCAGCUGCUGGAAGAGAGUAGGUGAGUUGUGUUUAGUCUCUUUGCUAAAGAAAUGAGUCAAAGUUAAAAAGAUGUUUGGUGUCUAGUACUAUGUCUGUGACCCUAUAUGUCCUGUUGAUGAAGUUAGGUGCUGUUCUGAGCAUUAUUUGUGGCUAUAGAGUGGCGUUUUGGUUGGGGGCGUGUCUCUCUGUAUUGCUAUCCUGCGGUCGUUACUAAAGUUGGUAUAACUAGAGAAGCAAGCGGUCGACAACAUUCAUCUCUGGAGGGGGGGUCUAACUCUGUGUUAUGGUGGGUUUGUGGAAUAUCCCUUUAAGAUCCUGUUGCAGCUGUGCUGACUUAAGGUUAGGGUUAGGCCGUGCUGACUUUAAAUUCUAACAAUUUUAAUAUCCCAAGAUUCAGUGUAAACUUGCUAAGAGGAGGAGUCAGGUGUGCCUGAAAAGCAAAGGGACAGAAUAAACGUUAAUGAGAAAGAGAGAGGCUGUCUGAUUUUAAGUUUCAAAGAGGUUUUAAGUCGAAUGUUAAGUGAGUUUAUUAAUGAUGAUCUCAGUUUGAUUUGUAUUUGUUAAAACUUUCUGUUUUACCGGCAGCCAGAUGCUCACAUUUGAAUAAUCUCCUUGGCAACGAGAAAAGUCCCCUAGCAACUAGAGUACCUGCAAGCGGUCAGCUGAUGGUUGAGUCAGCAAAAAAGAUGAUGUAAUGGUGAAUCAGAGUCAGAGUCAGAACUAGAGACUGAAUAGUUUAUUUAAAUCAGUCAGAUUAACACAUCAGGGUGUAUUCAGUGCAAAAAAAGGCUUUCUAAUAUCGCUGCCAAAGCGUAAGAGUCACUGAUAGACUGUGUUAAGUUGAGCAGAUCCUGAAACAAACAGCUGAGCCUCUUAGUGUCCUCUCUGUAAUUACCUGUGCGGAGAUCCCCAAAGCUUUGUGAUGUAUUAAACUAAAACAGGGACUCGUCCUCUGAGACCUGCAGCGCAUUUGUUUUGAGAGCUUUCUGUUUUAGAAAUUGGACCGGAGCCACAGAGGUUUAAGAGAGUCGGAUCCAGUUUGAGUACUGCUCCUUGACCCCCUCAAAUACCCACGAAUGAGUGGAGAGUUUGACGCCGUUUCUUGGACUUUGAAUCUAAGUCUGGAUUUUUCCUGCACACGGACCCUCUCAUGAAAGCUGAUUCAGUGCUCGGAGAAAGUUCAUCUGCGCACAAAUCAUCCCGACCUCCUUUUAUUUACCGCUCCUCGCAGAAGGUCAAGGAAGAGUUUGAUGGUUUGUUUUUUCUUUUGGCUCUUUGCCGCCAAUCUUACUCCGCCUCAUCAAACGGAUCGGCCUUGUAAGUCAAACGUCAGGACAUAAUAAAGCCGAGUGCUCGCCUCAGCCAUCACUCUGAGUAGAUCUGCUUAUUCUCCUUUAAACCUGCGAAGCUCGAUGUAGUGCCGGGUUUUAUGGCACGGAAACUCUUGUAAAUUGUUCCAUUUUGCACCAAAUCACCCGUGCAGUUUUCCUUUCACUCCGCAGAGAUGAUUCACACACCUCCCUGUGAAGAUCCGAGGAAGACUUUACGGCGACAAUAGCGCAGGUUGCAAUUUCCUUAAUGAAGUGUGCUCCACGAUAUGAAGAGGCCGAACCCCCUUGAGUGACACUGGAGGUGAUUGGCUCAUUAAUUUGCUCCUGUGUGCUUUUGCACUUAGAUUUUCGUGUGUUACGGCGGGGCCGCGGUUACACACUUAAUUGCUCUUGAAAUGUAUGAAGGCUGUCAGGCGUCCACGGUGUGCUCACGGAGGAUGUUGUUGGUGCUUUUUCAGGGGGCUGCAGGUUCGUUCUUUGAACUGGAUUCACGUGAACAAAACAAACAGACGUGGCUGCACCUCUAGUCUUGAUCUCCUACAAUGACCAGUUUGUUAUAAGUCUUACCUGAAUAUUAGAGAUGUGGUGAUUUCAGAGUAUUACAGAGGUGUAUUUCUUAUUUAUGGGGUAAAUCAAGGGUUGAGUCUCGCUUUUCAGGACGACAAAGAUGGUGAGUUUCCUAUCAGAGUUCAUCACUAAGGUACCUAAAGUUGUAGUCGAGUCACCAACUGUGAGACUCAAGUCCGAGUUUAGUCUGAGUCAGCUGUUAUUUUAUUAUUUUUAACCCAUCCUUAUUGUAAAAGUAAAAAAUACUAUUUUGAUCAUUCUGAAUUUCUUAGAUUUCUGCUCAGACAAAACUGUGUUUAAAGGUGGAGUCGGCAGGAAUCCGUUAAAGAAGCAAAAAAGCUUUUAAUAUCAGUCAAUAGCUAUUAGUUAUCAAUGACAUUUGAUAAUAUAACAAUAUCUGGCCCGCUCUUUCUGACUGUAAACAAAGCCGUUCUCCACCUCCUCUAACCUGAUUGGAUGUGAGGCAGACGCUGCUCCCCCGUGUCGUUCAGGAGCCCAAACAAAGUUAGCGUGCUACAAUAUCGGACAGUAGAAACCAACCAGAAAGUUCGGAAAAUUGUCUGAAUCCUCCUUUGGCCACGACUGCCGACACAAGCAAGAAAACACUCAAACAUAAACAGUCAACAAGAAAACAGUCAACAAGAAAACAGUCAACAAGAAAACAGUCAACAAGAAAACAGUCAAAACCAAAACAGUCAACAAGAAAACAGUCAACAAGAAAACAGUCAAAACCAAAACAGUCAACAAGAAAACAGUCAACAAGAAAACAGUCAGCAAGAAAAACAGUCAAAACCAAAACAGUCAACAAGAAAACAGUCAACAAGAAAACAGUCAACAAGAAAACAGUCAACAAAUAAACAGUCAGCAAGAAAACAGUCAAAACCAAAACAGUCAACAAGAAAACAGUCAACAAGAAAACAGUCAACAUCAAAACAGUCAACAUCAAAACAGUCAACAAGAAAACAGUCAACAAGAAAACAGUCAACCAUAAACAGUCAACAAGAAAACAGUCAACACCAAAACAGUCAACAAGAAAACAGUCAACCAUAAACAGUCAACAUCAAAACAGUCAACAAGAAAACAGUCAACACCAAAACAGUCAACAGGAAAACAGUCAACAAGAAAACAGUCAACAAGAAAGCGCUGCUCCCCUGUGUCGUUCAGGAGCCCAAACAAAGUUAGCGUGCUACAAUAUCGGACAGUAGAAACCAACCAGAAAGUUGGGAAAAUUGUCUGAAUCCUCCUUUGGCCACGACUGCCGACACAAGCAAGAAAACAAAGUAAAUACCGGAGACUCUGGAGGAAUAACGGGCGCUUAAAACGGAGGUAGACCGGACAAGAGCUAAAAAGCCGGGUCAACAUAAACGAUGGGGGACGCUUGGGGAUCUUGGUGACCCUGUAACCUUUCUGCUGGACAGGUAAACCGCUUUAACAAAGUAAGACAAGUGUCUGUAACAGAAGUGUUUCUUGUCAAACGGACCUGCUGUAGCGUGUUGUAGCUCCAUCGCUAAACUGUCCUCCCUCGGGUCCUGGACUAUGUCACUUUAUCCUCGUUGUAGAAGUCCUGCAAACAUUGUGUUUGCUGGUAGUCUGUUGGCAUCUACAGUAGCA